rnacentral:tRNA from 1 species
CAGGACGUAGCUAUAACACAAAGCAUUCAGCUUACACCUGAAAGAUACCUACUGUACUCUAGGUCGUCCUGA